rnacentral:rRNA from 1 species
GGGGUAUAGGUUUUCGGACCUAGAGACCGGCGCACGGGUGCGUAACGCGUAUGCAAUCUACCUUUUACAGAGGGAUAGCCCAGAGAAAUUUGGAUUAAUACCUCAUAGUAUUAUUGAAUGGCAUCAUUUAAUAAUUAAAGUCACAACGGUAAAAGAUGAGCAUGCGUCCCAUUAGCUAGUUGGUAAGGUAACGGCUUACCAAGGCAACGAUGGGUAGGGGUCCUGAGAGGGAGAUCCCCCACACUGGUACUGAGACACGGACCAGACUCCUACGGGAGACAGCAGUGAGGAAUAUUGGUCAAUGGGCGCAAGCCUGAACCAGCCAUGCCGCGUGCAGGAUGAAGCAUCUAUGGUGUGUAAACUGCUUUUGUACGAGAAGAAACACUCCUUCGUGAAGGAGCUUGACGGUAUCGUAAGAAUAAGGACCGGCUAACUCCGUGCCAGCAGCCGCGGUAAUACGGAGGGUCCAAGCGUUAUCCGGAAUCAUUGGGUUUAAAGGGUCCGUAGGCGGUUUUGUAAGUCAGUGGUGAAAGCCCAUCGCUCAACGGUGGAACGGCCAUUGAUACUGCAAGACUUGAAUUAUUAGGAAGUAACUAGAAUAUGUAGUGUAGCGGUGAAAUGCUUAGAUAUUACAUGGAAUACCAAUUGCGAAGGCAGGUUACUACUAGUGGAUUGACGCUGAUGGACGAAAGCGUGGGGAGCGAACAGGAUUAGAUACCCUGGUAGUCCACGCCGUAAACGAUGGAUACUAGCUGUUUUCGAGCAUCUGAGUGGCUAAGCGAAGU